AUCUGCAGGUGAGUCCACGGCAGACUGCAGUUGCAGAAGCCCUGAUCUAGAACAGGUACUUCAGGCAGGUUUCUCCUGAGUUCUGAAAGAGUGGAGAGGGUUAGCAAUACAGGCAGCUCUCACCAGCACUAACACCCAGGGCGCCGGUUAGUAUAAGAGCCAAGUGAUCUUAAUUAUGCCAAUUUCAGAGUCACGUUCAGCCAUACUGGUUGGUUAAAGAGCCAAGGCAAUGAACUGAGCAGAGCCAGGAUGGGGCUGCAGGACGUUACUCCGGAAGCCGAAGACAACCUCAUGGUCAUUUGAUCUGAAAGCCAUCAACAGUAGCCUUUGGACCCAUCAUUUAGAAGGUUCUCGACACACCACAACCUCAAGGGUUGGAUUGGGUUCUGCUCUUUGCCACAUUUUGCCCAUUUGAGAACAAGAGGAGCUGAGCACACUUUGCUCUGAGGCAGUUCUGAGUUUAAGCCUCACCUUUCUGGAUCAAAUUCAUCGACAGCUGGGGAUUCAUGCUUGUGGACUUGCUGUUUCAAAGUCAGAUGCUUUUCCUUAUUGGCCAGAAACUCCUAUUCCAGCAGUUCGAGGUGUCCCUGCAUUUUCUCGAGGACUUGUAACAGUGGAGUCACUGGAAUCAUUCACAGAUCCACCCUCCAACUUUCUCCGUGCCCCAGCCAGGAGGCUGGCCUUCAAUGCACUGUAUCAAUAGGCUCCCAUGCCUCUGGCUUUGGUUGAUUUCAGCCAAUGGAAGACAACAGCAGGAGAGAGGAACUGAAGAAGGAUGAGUUGGAAGUUGGCUGCAAUUGAAUAAUAGAGCAAAACCUGAUCAUGCUGUGCCUGCUUCUUCUGGGUAGCUUUGACUGUAAGAAAUCAGCUUUGAAGACUACAUAGGGAACCUCUGAUGUGAUCUAAACUUGUCUUUUUUUUGUUGCUUUUGUUGUUCUUUUAAGAGCCUUCAAAAAUACUGACUUUGACUCUGUUUUAAUUUUCAAAUUCUCUCCCUCUGUUCCUAGCUCAAGAUUUCUAUUUACCCAUGAAAGCAAAUAGGAGAUGGCUCAGAGUAGUAUAUCCCAGGCCACGCCCAGAGGUCAGGUAGUCAUGGAUUUUGUAUCCAGUGUAUGGUGUUUCUAGAUUAAAAUAUGUUCAGAGGUAAUGUGAUAGAAGGCUCCCUCUGCAAUGACUGCAUUUGAUUACGCUCUGGUAAUUCUAUCAGCUAACUCUAUCUCAGAAAUGUAGGGUGCCCACAAAUGCAGUGUCUGUGACUGUAACCACACACCAUUCAGGGCGACGGUCUGGCUUCAUCCAGCUAUUGUUGAGUGGCAGUAGGAAGACACUGUGAAGGAGCAACAAACCAAUCCAAUCCUCCCUGGAGAGCCGAUAGAUGUAUUAUUCAUAGUCAGUCUUAGCAAUGUAGGCCUUCCAUGAGUGUACGCAAAUUUGAUGACCAGCUGCUACAAGUUAUCUACCCUGAAACUGUUUUAAAAGAACAAAAAAUUUUUUUGAGACUGAGUAAACUAGUGUAUGGAGAAGCUUCCUCUUGGUGUUUUACCAGCAGCCUUUGCUUACUUUCCUUGCCCUUUGGUGGUCAGUGCUGUCCUUUUAUCCAAUUUUCCCACUGACAUAGCCAGGUAAUCAUCAUAGAUUGUUGGAUUUGUAUGGUAAACAAUGGACCUUUGCUGUGCUUUGGGAACGUUUAGAAAACUCUUACCAGUUGAUUUUCUAAAAAUAAUACUUACCACAAAUUUCAAAACACGCUUGAUUUAAAGAAGUAUAAUACCUCAUCCUUUCCCUAAACUUUCUAGCUUAAGUUUGGCAACCUCUGCCUAGAGAUAAGAAGGGCCAGAAUAUUUUAGGAAAAUUCUUUCUCUUUUGUUUAAAGACUUGCCCUUCUUUCCCUCACGUUUUACCUCCUGUCUAAAGGAAGAACAUUGACUUGAAAUUAUCAAUAAAUGUUUCAAAGAAUAAAAUG